rnacentral:rRNA from 1 species
GAUGAAAGAGGGAGGCGUGCCUAAUACAUGCAAGUCGAGCGAACAGAUAAGGAGCUUGCUCCUUUGACGUUAGCGGCGGACGGGUGAGUAACACGUGGGUAACCUACCUAUAAGACUGGAAUAACUCCGGGAAACCGGGGCUAAUGCCGGAUAACAUUUAGAACCGCAUGGUUCUAAAGUGAAAGAUGGUUUUGCUAUCACUUAUAGAUGGACCCGCGCCGUAUUAGCUAGUUGGUAAGGUAACGGCUUACCAAGGCAACGAUACGUAGCCGACCUGAGAGGGUGAUCGGCCACACUGGAACUGAGACACGGUCCAGACUCCUACGGGAGGCAGCAGUAGGGAAUCUUCCGCAAUGGGCGAAAGCCUGACGGAGCAACGCCGCGUGAGUGAUGAAGGUCUUCGGAUCGUAAAACUCUGUUAUUAGGGAAGAACAAAUGUGUAAGUAACUGUGCACGUCUUGACGGUACCUAAUCAGAAAGCCACGGCUAACUACGUG